rnacentral:rRNA from 1 species
AUAUAGGUCAAGCUACAAAGGGCGCAUGGUGAAUGCCUUGGCAUCAGGAGCCGAUGAAGGACGUGAUAAGCUGCGAUAAGCUUCGGGUAGGCGCACAUAGCCUGAGAUCCGAAGAUCUCCGAAUGAGGAAACUCACAUGGGAAACCCCAUGUAUCAUUAAGUGAAUACAUAGCUUAAUGAAGGUAACCCAGGGAACUGAAACAUCUAAGUACCUGGAGGAAGAGAAAGAAAAAUCGAUUUUCUUAGUAGCGGCGAGCGAAAGGGAAAGAGCCCAAACCGGAAACUUGUUUCCGGGGUUGUGGACAUAACAUAAAAGUGGAGGCUAUUGUAACUGAAGAGAACUGGAAAGUUCCACCGUAGAAGGUAAUAGUCCUGUAAGUGAAACGAGAAGACCACGAGUUAUGAUCCAGAGUACCACGAGACACGUGAAACCUUGUGGGAAGCAGGGAGGACCACCUCCCAAGGCUAAAUACUACCUGAUGACCGAUAGUGAAGCAGUACCGUGAGGGAAAGGUGAAAAGAACCCCGGGAGGGGAGUGAAAUAGAACCUGAAACCGUGUGCCUACAACCGCUCAGAGCCCCUUAUGAGGGUGAUGAGGUGCUUUUUGUAGAACGAGCCAACGAGUUACGGUAUGUAGCAAGGUUAAGUACUUAAGGUACGGAGCCGAAGGGAAACCGAGUCUGAAUAGGGCGACUAGUUGCAUGCCGUAGACCCGAAACCGGGUGACCUAUCCAUGGCCAGGUUGAAGCGAGGGUAAAACCUCGUGGAGGACCGAACCACGUUGCUGUUGAAAAAGCAUGGGAUGAGCUGUGGAUAGCGGAGAAAUUCCAAUCGAACCCGGAGAUAGCUGGUUCUCUCCGAAAUAGCUUUAGGGCUAGCGUCGAGUAUGAGUAGUGGAGGUAGAGCACUGAAUGGGCUAGGGGGCAUAGCGCUUACCGAACCUUAUCAAACUCCGAAUGCCACAUACUUUGAGCUCGGCAGUCAGACUACGAAUGAUAAGAUCCGUGGUCAAAAGGGAAACAGCCCAGAUCGUCAGCUAAGGUCCCAAAGUGUAAGUUAAGUGGGAAAGGAUGUGAGAUUUCUAAGACAACUAGGAUGUUGGCUUAGAAGCAGCCAUUCAUUAAAAGAGUGCGUAAUAGCUCACUAGUCGAGAGAUCUUGCGCCGAAAAUGUAACGGGGCUAAACUUACCACCGAAGCUACGGGCUUGAACUUAGUUCAAGCGGUAGGAGAGCGUCGUAACCGGGCUGAAGUCGUACCGUAAGGAGCGGUGGACUGGUUACGAGUGAGAAUGUUGGCAUCAGUAGCGAGAUGUGGGUGAGAAUCCCACAGGCCGAAAACCUAAGGUUUCCUCAGGAAGGUUCGUCCGCUGAGGGUUAGUCGGGACCUAAGCCGAGGCCGAAAGGCGUAGGUGAUGGACAACUGGUUGAUAUUCCAGUACCACUACCAUCGUUAUUAUCGAUGGCGUGACGCAGGAGGAUAGUGUGUGCUAGCUAUUGGAUGCUAGUCUAAGCGUUUAGGCAGUGAGAGUAGGCAAAUCCGCUCUCAUAAUGCUGAGGCGUGAUGGGGAAGGUUCUACGGAACCGAAGUACAUGAUUCCACGCUGCCAAGAAAAGCGUCUAGAGAGAGAAGUAGUGCCCGUACCGCAAACCGACACAGGUAGGUGAGGAGAGAAUCCUAAGGCCGGCGGAAGAAUUACAGUUAAGGAACUCGGCAAAUUGACCCCGUAAGUUCGCGAGAAGGGGUGCCUACGAGAGUAGGCCGCAGAGAAUAGGCCCAAGCAACUGUUUAGCAAAAACACAGGUCUCUGCUAAAGCGUAAGCUGAUGUAUAGGGGCUGACGCCUGCCCGGUGCUGGAAGGUUAAGGGGAACACUUAGCGCAAGCGAAGGUGUGAACUUAAGCCCCAGUAAACGGCGGCCGUAACUAUAACGGUCCUAAGGUAGCGAAAUUCCUUGUCAGGUAAGUUCUGACCCGCACGAAUGGCGUAAUGACUUGGGCACUGUCUCAACUGUAAAUCCGGCGAAGUUGUAGUGCGAGUGAAGAUGCUCGCUACCCGCGAUUGGACGGAAAGACCCCGUAGAGCUUUACUGUAGCUUAGCAUUGAGUUUUGGUAUUGUCUGUACAGGAUAGGUGGGAGACUAGGAAACCAGGGCGUCAGCCUUGGUGGAGUCAACCUUGGGAUACCACCCUGACAGUACUGAAAUUCUAACUGGCGGCCAUGAAUCUGGUCACAGGACAUUGUUAGGUGGGCAGUUUGACUGGGGCGGUCGCCUCCUAAAAAGUAACGGAGGCGCCCAAAGGUUCCCUCAGAACGGUCGGAAAUCGUUCGAAGAGUGCAAAGGCAGAAGGGAGCCUGACUGCGACACCCACAAGUGGAGCAGGGACGAAAGUCGGGCUUAGUGAUCCGGUGGUACCUCGUGGGAGGGCCAUCGCUCAACGGAUAAAAGCUACCUCGGGGAUAACAGGCUGAUCUCCCCCAAGAGUCCACAUCGACGGGGAGGUUUGGCACCUCGAUGUCGGCUCGUCGCAUCCUGGGGCUGAAGUAGGUCCCAAGGGUUGGGCUGUUCGCCCAUUAAAGCGGCACGCGAGCUGGGUUCAGAACGUCGUGAGACAGUUCGGUCCCUAUCCGUCGCGGGCGUAGGAAAUUUGAGAGGAGCUGUCCUUAGUACGAGAGGACCGGGAUGGACUGACCUCUGGUGUACCAGUUGUUCCGCCAGGAGCACAGCUGGGUAGCUAAGUCGGGAAUGGAUAAACGCUGAAAGCAUCUAAGCGUGAAGCCAACCUCAAGAUGAGAUUUCCCAUAGCGUAAGCUAGUAAGAUCCCUUGAAGAACACAAGGUUGAUAGGUCGGGGGUGUAAGCAUGGUAACAUGUUCAGCUGACCGAUACU